UCUACCUGCCCGCCCGCCCGCACACCUUGGGCUGAAGCAGACACAUCAGGCUGGGGACACUGGAUCCACAAACGCUCACCAGCUCCUGUCCCCAUCUCCUUCCAGAGAGAGAGAGGGUCUGGGGGUGCAGCUCUCCGUUUCCCCACCCCAGCUCUCAAAGACGAUUUAGGGAAGGAGCCAGUCUUCUCCUGCAGGGCUUCCCCUCCCUGUGUCCUCCCAAACCUCCCCAUGCUGGGUCACCUCUCCCCAAAAUCAGUCCUAAACCUUCUGGAAACAACAACAACAAAUCUUUGGGUCUCUAAGCCCUACAAGCAGGGCCAGCUAAGAUUCAGGGGAAUUUCUAUUCUCGCCCCGUCCCUGUGGGAACGUGGGCUAGUGCCUCCUCUCCUCAUCUCAGGUCCCUCUUCCCCUGAGCUACACCCUCAGCCCUUUUUAUUCUUUUUAUUUUCAGAUAGGAUCUCGCUAAGAGGCCCAAGUGGCCUCGAACUUGCAACCCUCCUGCCCCAGGCUCCAGAGUCCCUAGGAUUCAGAUGUCACCUCUUCAGAGCGGCUUCCCUGAACCCUCACUGAAGUAGCUGCCUGACUUCUUUGUAGCCCUUGGUGAGAUUCCCUGUCUAUUUAUCAUGUGCCUCGCACAUCGCAGCUGGAAUCUUGUCUGAUGUGCUCUCUGCUGGGUCCCUGGGGGGUCCCUGGCACCUAGAAAGCAUCACAGAGAAAAUUAGCUAUGGAAAAAAAGGGGGGGGGAGGGCUCUUGGUAAACACGUGUUGAAUUAUUUUUUUGCCACAAAUGCUUUUAUUUUAUAAUUGAAAUGGAAGCUCUUGCCAGACAUGAUGGCACAUGCCUGUAAUGCCAGGGACUCUGGAGGCUGAGGCAGGAGGGUCACAAGUUUGAGGCCAGUCCCAGCAAUUUAGCAAGGCCCCAAGCAGCUUAGCAAAUAAAAUUUAAAAAAAGACUGGGGAUGUGGCCCAGUGGGAAAGCACCCCUGGGUUCAAUCCCCAGGACCUGAAAAGAAAAAACAGGAAGCCCUUGACUUUAGAGCCCAGUUCUCACUACGGUGCCUGUUCUCCAAGCACGACAAUUACUCUGAGUUUACCGUACUUCUCUCUAGUCCAUUUUCCGCCUCCGUAAAUGAACAGUGUCGAGUAUUACAGCCGGCCCUCUGUAUCUGCGGGUUUUGAAUUUACAGAUUCAUGCAACCGAGCAUUGAAAAUAAUCUAAAACACAAUAAAAUGUUGCACGUGUACUGAGCACGCCCAGACUUCUUUCUGUGUUUAUUCCCUGAGCAGCCUGACAACUCUCCCGGGGCACUCAGGUAUUAGAAGGAUCUGGAGAUGGUGGAGAGUAGCCAGGAGAACGUUUGCGGUUAUAUGCAAACACUGUGGAGCGGGGACUUGAGCGUCCCUGGGUUUUUGUAUUUGAAGGAAGAGGUCCUGGAACCCAUCCCUGUGGACAGUGAGAGAUGACUGCUUCCCGCAGUCAGGGUCGACGUCUCCACCACCAAUGUUUCUGAGAACAUUCCAAGUUGAUGGGUUCUGGGUUCCGAUCUGACCCCCACCCCCACCCCAUCCACUCCUUGCCCCGUCUGCUUCCCUGUCGCGGCUGUUGGUGUUGAACCUCUACUCUGUCCCCUGCGCGGCCAUGCACAUGCUGACACCUGCCUUCCCAGGCACGGGGCUAAGAGUUUCUCUAGGUCGUGAACCUAGAAAGUAGAACUGCCGGGCAGGCAGGGGGCGGGGCUGCACAUUUUCCUUUUUGCUGGGUCCUGCCAAAUCCCUCUCCCUAGGAGCAGUACCCACGAUGGAGCGGGCCAGCGGCUCGUGAGACUCCCACGUGCCACGUCUGCAGCCGCUGGGAACCCACAGGAGUUUCCUUCUACAGCCUCGGUGUCUUCCAAGUGCUUCCCGCUCUCGCCUCCCCAAGGCCCUGCAGGAUUCCUCUUAUUUGAUGGAUGAGCGAGGGGGACCCUGGGUCUCUCUGGGGACCCUCUAACCCCACUCCCACUCCCUUGUCCUCCAUUCUGUCCAACUCUACCCCCCCUCACUGCGUCUCAUUCCAGCCCAGGGGGACCUAAGGAGCAGCUGGUCCCUUCCCGGACCACAAGUCUCCAGACUCGGAGAAGAGCGGCAGCUGGCUUCCCAUUUAGGUCCUUCACACAUCUGGGCUGGAGGAACGUAAGGCCCAGAGACCUAACCGUCGUUCUCUCACCAUAGACCAGUCUGCCCAGCUUUCCACUGUUUCCCACGUGGUGCUGAGAAUCGAACCCAGCAUCUCAUACGUUCUUGGCAACUGCUCUACCACUGAGCCCCAGCCCCAGCCAUACAUAUAUAUAGCCUAUGUAUAUUUAUUAUCUCUCUGUAUAUAUGUAUAUAUAAAAUAUGUAUAUGUAUUUAAAAUGUUCUAUAUAUAUGUGUGUGUGUGUGUGUAUAUGUAAUAUAUAUACAUAUGUAUAUUUAAAAAUCCAUUUGUCAAGUUCCUGAAACUCCAACUGGGAUUUAAGUCGCUUCACUAAAGCGAUGGGUGGAUUUGGGGGAGAGUGAACAUCGCCGCGGCAUCAGUUUAUCCCAUCCAUGAACGUAGUGCACCCUUCAUUCGUUCUGCACUUCGCCCACAUCUUUUCGUGGUGGGGCAGGGGUGAAAGGAGCCUGCACACCCUCCCGAAUCUCUUCUUCUACAUCUGGGAUCUACUGAUACCUGCGGUAACCCCAGGAGUGCUGAACGGCAGGGCCUGAUGCUACUGUUUUAUAGAUUAUUUGAA